rnacentral:rRNA from 1 species
GACGGAGGAUGCAAGCGUUAUCCGGAAUGAUUGGGCGUAAAGCGUCUGUAGGUGGUGAUGCAAGUCACUGGUGCAAAACUCUGGCUCAACCGGAGGAAAGCCAGUGAAACUGCAUGACUAGAGUGUGGGAGAGGUAGAAGGAAUUCCCUGAGUAGCGGUGAAAUGCGUAGAUACAGGGAAGAACACCGGAGGCGAAAGCGUUCUACUGGAACACAACUGACACUGAGAGACGAAAGCUAGGGGAGCGAAUGGG